rnacentral:ncRNA from 1 species
AUAUGCUUGCCACCGGGUAAGCGUAAAAUAAAAAGUGCCGAAAGUACUUCGUUAGGUCGUAGAAGAAGUGCUUCUGGCACUUUUUUUGUU